rnacentral:lncRNA from 1 species
GGGAUUUUACGUAAUUUUACGAAAAUAACCCUAUAGCAAACAUAUCUGAGAUCUGAUUCCCCAUUUGUUCCAAUCGUGCUCUCCACAAACCCUAACCCUAGAAAAUGAAGAUCGGAUGAGAAUCGCAGUUUUGGUGCUUCAAGGUCUAAAGUUGAAUCAGAUUCUAUCAUCAAUCUACUGAUCCGGGUUGGUUGGAGAUGAAUAUGGUUACGAUGUUGUUCAGCUUCAGUUGUAGAUGGUUAUUGGAAAGUUUAAAGAGGAGCUAGUUUGAAUGUUUUGGGAAGAAGACAUAUCUCGAAAUAAGAGCAUUCAUAUUAGCUUCUCUAUCCUUAUCUAUAUAAUUUAACCAAAAACACAUUUCUUCUUCCAAUUUUUUGAUUAGAUAAAAAUCCCCUUUAUCUCAUUCUCUAUAUUUAUCUCUGU